GGGGGCAUAAGCUCAAUGGCAAACUGCGGGACUCCAAAUCCUGACUUCUAGGUUCGAAUCCUAGUGCCCCCGCCU
rnacentral:tRNA from 2 species